GCAAAACUGAGUUUCAUUUGAAGUGAUUCACAUAUACCUAAAUUAUUAUUAUUUUUACAUACCCAGUUGGCCUCUAUGAUUUUGUUUUGAAUUAUAUAUGUUCAUUAUUAUUAAUGUAGCUCUCUCAGAAAAAAUGAAGUGUUUGCUUUGAUAGGUUGUUACCUACGUGUAGAAAACUGAAUAUUCCACAGCACCUAGGCCAGGAAUGUUCAACCUGCGGCUCUAAAGCCACAUGUGGCUCUCCGGCCCCUCCACUGUGGCUCUUAUAAGACCAAGCUGUAGACAGAUUUUGUAGCAGCAGGGGAAAAGGGGCCCUUUGAACUGAAAAGGAUGCUGACCCCUGACUUAAGCCACCAGGUCAAGACACAACAAAUACAGAAAAAUUAUUGACAGAAAAAUGGAACGGUUACUUUCAAGGCUACAGGUGAAGGUGAAUGGAUGCUCCUGUCACUCCAUUUCCCAGGUCAUCAUAGCACUCCCACACACACGGAGCUCUCCUGCAGUAUGCAGUGUAAUGGCCCAAACCACCAGUGGUCAUCUUUCCAUGGAAAGCAAUUAAUGCCCUCAAAGUGAACGAUUUUCCUUGGAGAACCAGGUUGGAGGGAAAUUCGUUCAGGGGAAAUUCUGUUUGGUUUGCAAGAGAUGGAUUGGAGAGUGGCCUGAGGCAGGUAGACUCAGGUAGGCCAAGUCCUGCUUCCACAGCCGUGCCAAGAUGAGCCAUACCAGACUCUUUGAGGACAGAGAUGGCAGGAGAAACAAAUGGUUUGUUGGGUCACACCAUCUGUGGCAAUGGCUUUCACCAGCUGCAGGACUGGGUUUUCACUGUCUUUCAGAACAGCAUUUUGAAAUGUUGAGCUGUCACAGAAGGCACAACAUAAGCACUGAAAAA
ensembl:lncRNA